GGGGGGGAAGGGGGCCUCCCACUUGUGUUGCACUGCUGGCUGGCAAAUCCACGCACUCCCUGGGACCCUGGCUUCAACCCCCCGCCGUGGCCCUGGGCAGGCACUGAGCAUUAGGAGGUGUGGAAAGCGAACAGACAAAGCGGGGGGUGAGAACACGGGGCUGGCUCGUCAGCGGCCUUCCCCUGGAUCUGUGUCGCUUCGUUGGCGGGCUGCAGGUGUCCAUUCUGGUCUCCCCAGGCUCCUCCAGCUACUUUGCACGCUGUCCCCUUCUUGUUUCCGGUCCCUCACCUGACACCCGGUCGUGCCUGGCCUGGGCCCCACGGGCGCCGUUGUGCACGCUGGGGCCUGGAACCUGCCCGAGAGGGGUACCCUGGCACUUCUCUGUGUAGACGCAAAGCGGAGCUAAAACUAAAGAGUUUCCUGAGCCGGUGAGAAUGAGGCAGUUCCUCCCGGGCCCCUGAAGGAAGCAGAAGUCAUUACCUUUUGGGUCUCGUCCGCCGAUCUUUGAUCGCGUGUGCUGAGGUCUUCGGGCGUGAAGAACGCGUCUCUCCCCGCGAGGUUCCUGUCCCUGCUGGAGCCUCGUUCAGCUGGCGGUCACAUCAGGCCAGGCGUGUGCCUGCGGCCCACUGGGUAGUGGCCGGCGGUGACGGAGAUAGGACCAAACCCCACUAACGCCGGGCAGGCUGUGGGCGUGACCCCCAAGGUAAUGACUCCACCAACCGUGUCUCGCUUAGGUCCUGCUCAGUGAAGGUGAGCCCUUGAAGGCAACCAGGCACCCCCCGCCCCGCCCCCAGCAAACAAAACAUUCCUGGGUCCCGGCCAGGUGAAGGUGUUGGCCGUGGAGCCCAAGUCCGCAGGGUCCCAUGCUUCGUGGGCGCCUCUGGGUCGAGAUGUGCCAGGAAGGACUCCCAACAUCCCCCCCCCCAACCCCCGCGGGAGAAUUUUUUUUGUGGACGGUGAAGGACCCGAUCCUGUUGCAACAGGCUUGGGUGGGAAUAAGACCGGUGACCAGAACCGAUGGUUCGUUUUCCUUGACCCUUUAGAUGCUGGCGCGUGGCUCUGUCCGGAGCCUUUCUGUUGGGAGGGUCCUCUGACGGAGACGGGUGGCGGUGCCCCUCGGAUCUCUCUGUGUGCCGUUCCGGGGACAUUGACCCUUGGUGUUUGAGAGACGUUUCUAGUAGGAUCGCAGUGGUGGAAUGCAAAAGGUCUGGGCUCGCGGGUGCUGUAAUGGGGACGGUGUGACGUGGGGACAGAGAAGGAAAGCCUAUGGCGUCGGGGCAAGAGCACUGGACUGGCCCCACUCUGCUGCCUCAUUCGUCCCGUAACCCAAAGUCAAGUCACAUUCCCUUCCGAGACCUCUACUCCCCUGUCAAGCGGAGACGGGCCCUUUCUGGCAUCGCGCUCAGCAGACUGGCUCUUAGCAGCCACGUGGACCCAGGAACAGACAUAUAAAGGGACGCCAGCCAUCCUUGGUGACGAGGGGUCCCAAAUUGGCAUCUCUUCCCUUCCCUUCCCUUCGGAAGAGGAGAUGGGGGCCGGGGGCGGGGGCAGCCCUUUCACAGACGAGCACAUCAGCAAAGCCCGUGACAGUGGAAUUUUCUAACAAAAUAAACUUGCUUAUUUGGUCUGUUUUCUGUAACUUUUGCUAAAUACUUUAUACAUUUUUAAUGUUAAAAAGCUGCGUCUCCUGCCAGCAUUGCUCAUCCUGGUAUGAAUGUGUUUACCCCACAUUGUAUAUCCUUCCUUCCUCUGGCUGCCUAGAUCAGUAAAUAACAUCGAUGUACCAUAAUUUAUAAGUAACACUGUUGAAACUCUGAUCCCUAUGGAGGCUGUAACUCGCCCUUUCCUCCGGUCCCCCGGCUGCCCCCCGCCCCG
rnacentral:lncRNA from 1 species